GAUGAACGCUGGCGGCGUGCCUAAUACAUGCAAGUCGAGCGAACAGACGAGGAGCUUGCUCCUCUGACGUUAGCGGCGGACGGGUGAGUAACACGUGGAUAACCUACCUAUAAGACUGGGAUAACUUCGGGAAACCGGAGCUAAUACCGGAUAAUAUAUUGAACCGCAUGGUUCAAUAGUGAAAGACGGUUUUGCUGUCACUUAUAGCUGGAUCCGCGCCGCAUUAGCUAGUUGGUAAGGUAACGGCUUACCAAGGGAACGAUGCGUAGCCGACCUGAGAGGGUGGUCGGCCACACUGGAACUGAGACACGGUCCAGACUCCUACGGGCGGCAGCAGUAGGGAAUCUUCCGCAAUGGGCGAAAGCCUGACGGAGCAACGCCGCGUGAGUGAUGAAGGGCUUCGGAUCGUAAAACUCUGUUAUUAGGGAAGAACAAAUGUGUAAGGAACUAUGCACGUCUUGACGGUACCUAAUCAGAAAGCCACGGCUAACUACGUG
rnacentral:rRNA from 1 species